UUUUUACUAGCGCUCCUGCCCUGCAGGGGGCGCGCUAUGGUGCGCUCAGCUUCUCUCGUUCGGGGGCGCGCGCAGUGAGACAGACAGGCUGCCACGUAAUCCAGCAGCGCAUUGACUGCACACCGCAGGCUUCAAGCGGUGGAUCGGUAGCAGCGUUUUCAGCUGGGGAGUUGCUGGAAAGUAGGAGAGUGGCAAGACGGGCAUAGAGCAUAAAAGAGAAAAGGCAACGGAGAAGAGUUAGCGGGUUGCUGGGGGCAGGAAUCUGUUUGAGGAGCUUUGGAAGCAAGGCAACACUGGACAAGGUGACCAACAUUACAGUUGAAGCCCAGUCCCACCUUCCCAACCCCACUUGCAUCUCGGACUGGAGGGCAUCUUGACGUCACACCAGACGCCGAGGGAUUUUCCCCUCCAUAUCCCAA